CCUCGCCUGCAAACUGCAGGACAUCCACCAUGUGGAACGGCAUCCAGAGACACAGGGAGAGUCAAACAUCUGCUGUAGCGUUCGGCUUCUCUUCUCAGUGUGAGCCUGUGGUGUCUUGAGUAAUGACUGUACCGUUGUCUGACAGAGCGACGUAUACCCUCAAACUGCUUCGCCUGCUCCUGCAGAAGAGAUACAGAAACACCUAAACAGAAUUCCACAUACUGCCGUCCUGUCUUCUGUGAUCGCAUGAGCUAAUCAUAAAUAUGUCUAACAAGUUCAAUUACAUUCCCUAUCGGCUCAGGAUGCUCAGACGCGGAUGCUCUUGUGUUCUCCAGUGCUUGGACGGCAUGCUGAAAUCCUGCAAAGUAUUAGUGUCACAUGGGCUGCUCAGGAUGCAGAGCGUGUUGGCAUAAUCUGACGGGCCAACAUCUUGAAAGCAAGAGAUACAGACACAGCUUCAUUUCCUAAACAGGCACGCUGCCAUUGCUGCUCUGGCCGGACUCCAGCCCAAGAGAGGGUGAGUAAGGAGGACACUGCUGAGUGUUCAAGGGCAUUAACAGAGAUGCGCUUCUUUCUCCUAUAUAUAUAGAUACCUCACCUCAGCUAAAAAAUAAGGUAUAAUAAAGGUUCAUGACACUAGCUUUGUUCUGAAGCCAAGUUAUCUGCCUCAGUGCCUUUGGACGUCAUAGGCUGCUGCACUCCAAUGUUUUGGAAUCCUUUUCUAAUAUUCAGAUUAUUAUUAUUUUUUACUUUAAGUUUCUUUCUUUUCAGUACUGAAUUAAUUUUAUAUUUAUAAUGUCUAAAGCAUAUUUAGAAUGUCUCCAACAUUGUCUGAUUGUUGCACUGCAUUAUGGGAGUCAAAAAAGGCAUCUUAGAAGCAUCACGAUUAACGUUGUAUUCUUUAAAGGAACAGUUCCCCAAAAAUGAAAAGCUGCAUAAGAUUUAGUCACCCACAGACCAUCCGAGAUGUAGAUAAGUUAG